UGCGGGUAAUGUACCUUGAAAAGGGGGAUAGCUUCAUGAAAGUGGAGGUAAUACCCCGUAUUCCCUGGAAUCUGGAAUGAUCCAGGGCAAAGAUGGCCUAUGGUUUACUAUGCUGUCGACUCAAGAGCAGCCCGUGUCUUAUCAGGUUGUUGGUGGGGUAAUGGCUCACCAAGCCUAAGACGAGUAGUUGGCCUGAGAGGGUGGUCAGCCACACCGGGACUGAGACACUGCCCGGACUCCUACGGGAGGCUGCAGUCGAGAAUCUUUCCCAAUGGACGAAAGUCUGAGGAUGCGACGCCGCGUGGAGGAUGAAGGUCUUCGGAUUGUAAACUCCUUUUAUUGUGGAGGAAGAUCAAGAAAUUAAUAGUUUUUUGAUUUGACUGUACUCGAUGAAUAAGCCACGGCUAACUCCGUGCCAGCAGCCGCGGUAAUACGGAGGUGGCAAGCGUUACUCGGUUUGACUGGGUGUAAAGCGUCCGCAGGCGGCCAGAUAAGUGAAAAGUGAAAUCUCUCUGCUCAACGGAGAAACUGCUUUUCAAACUGUUUGGCUUGAGGAUGGAAGAGGAGAGCAGAACUGUCAGUGUAAGGGUGAAAUCUGUGGAUAUUGACAGGAAUGCCUGUGGAGAAGUCGGCUCUCUGGUCCAUUUCUGACGCUCAGGGACGAAAGCUAGGGGAGCAAACAGGAUUAGAUACCCUGGUAGUCCUAGCCGUAAACGAUGGGCACUAGGUGCUUGUUCUUUAGAAUGGGUGCCGUAGUUAACACGUUAAGUGCCCCACCUGGGGAUUACGGCCGCAAGGCUAAAACUCAAAGGAAUUGACGGGGGCCCGCACAAGCGGUGGAACACGUGGUUUAAUUCGAUGCUACGCGAGGAACCUUACCAGGGCUUGACAUGCUAGAAGUAAUUGCCUGAAAGGGUUAAUGACCUGUAACCAGUCAGGUACUAGCACAGGUGCUGCAUGGCUGUCGUCAGCUCGUGCCGUGAGGUGUUCCCUUAAGUGGGAGAACGAGCGCAACCCUCGCCCUUUGUUGCCACUUCUGACUUUUUGUUAGAAAGCACUCUAAGGGGACUGCCCGCGUUAAGUGGGAGGAAGGUGAGGACGACGUCAAGUCCGCAUGGCCCUUAUGUCCUGGGCUACACACGUGUUACAAUGCCUGCUACAAAGGGUGGCGAAAUCGUGAGGUGGAGCAAAUCCCAAAAAAGCAGGCCCAGUUCGGAUUGAAGGCUGCAAUUCGCCUUCAUGAAGUUGGAAUCGCUAGUAAUGGCGCAUCAGCAACGGCGCCGUGAAUACGUUCCCGGGCCUUGUACACACCGCCCGUCAAGCGCUGAAAGUGGGGGGCGCCCGAAGCCCGACUUCUGUCGGGACACGGUGAACUUCAUGAUUGGCGCUAAGUCGUAACAAGGUA
rnacentral:rRNA from 1 species